UACGUAGGGGGCAAGCGUUGUCCGGAAUCAUUGGGCGUAAAGCGCGUGUAGGCGGCUCUUCAAGUCGAGUGUGAAAGCUCCAGGCUUAACCUGGGAAUUGCGCUCGAUACUGUUGAGCUAGAGUGUGGAAGGGGCUACUGGAAUUCCGUGUGUAGCGGUGAAAUGCGUAGAUAUAACGGAGGAACACCUGCGGCGAAGGCGGGUAGCUGGGCCAACACGUGACGCUGAGACGCGAAAGCUAGGGGAGCAAACGGG
rnacentral:rRNA from 1 species